AAGCUUUCAACAAAUAGUUAAAUUCAAAUUAAAAUACGUGUAUAUGCGACUUAUUCUCUCUACUUUUCAUCUCUUUUUUUCUUCAGAGAUUGACCUUUGUGUAGAAACACCAUGUCAGAAUGGAGGAACCUGCACUUUUGUUGAUAGUACUCGAAGUUGUGGAUGUCCUAGCACCCACCAGGGAGUAAACUGUGAAACAGAGAUUGACCUUUGUGUAGAAACACCAUGUCAGAAUGGAGGAACCUGCACUUUUGUUGAUAGUACUCGAACUUGUGCAUGUCCUAGCACCCAUCAGGGAGUAAACUGUGAAACAGAGAUUGACCUUUGUGUAGAAACACCAUGUCAGAAUGGAGGAACCUGC
rnacentral:lncRNA from 1 species